rnacentral:rRNA from 1 species
GACGAACCGUGCGAACGUUAUUCGGAAUCACUGGGCUUAAAGCGCGUGUAGGCGGAUGGGGACGUCGGUUGCUGAAAUCCCCCGGCUCAACCGGGGAACGGGCACCGAAACGCCCCGUCUGGAGGGACGUAGGGGGACCUGGAACUUCCGGUGGAGCGGUGAAAUGCGUUGAGAUCGGAAGGAACGCCAGUGGCGAAAGCGGCUUCCUGGUCCAGCACCGACGUUCAGGCACGAAAGCGUGGGGAGCAAACAGG